UUCAAGGUUAAAAAGCAGGAUAAAGUGGAAGUACUUAAAAGCCAAACAGCACUCUUGCUGUCAAACAGCAGACACCGCUGGAGCCUGCAGUCAACAAUGAAGCUCAUCGUGUGGUGUCUCCUGCUUCUUCCAUUUGCAACUGUGGUGUUGACAGCCCCAGUCAGAGAUCGAAGAGAAAAUUUCAUAAGCUUCUUGAAUGAUGCACUUGGCACAAUGACCACACCUGCAUAUGCA